rnacentral:rRNA from 1 species
UACGAAGGGGGCUAGCGUUGCUCGGAAUUACUGGGCGUAAAGCGCACGUAGGCGGCUUUCUAAGUCGGGGGUGAAAUCCUGGAGCUCACCUCCAGAACUGCCUUCGAUACUGGAGAGCUCGAGUCCGGGAGAGGUGAGUGGAACUGCGAGUGUAGAGGUGAAAUUCGUGGAUAUCGAGAAGAACACUUAGGGCGUAGGCAAGACUCUGGACAAAUGCUGACGCUCAUGCACGAAGGCUAGGGUAGCGAACGGG